rnacentral:rRNA from 1 species
GACGAACGCUUGCGGCAGGCUUAACACAUGCAAGUCGAGCGGGCGUAGCAAUACGUCAGCGGCAGACGGGUGAGUAACGCGUGGGAACGUACCUUUUGGUUCGGAACAACACAGGGAAACUUGUGCUAAUACCGGAUAAGCCCUUACGGGGAAAGAUUUAUCGCCGAAAGAUCGGCCCGCGUCUGAUUAGCUAGUUGGUGAGGUAACGGCUCACCAAGGCGACGAUCAGUAGCUGGUCNGAGAGGAUGAUCAGCCAC